rnacentral:rRNA from 1 species
UUCCAUACCUAAUAUUUUAUGGUAUUACCUGCUCUAUGUUUAUUAUAAAUGGCCGCAGUAUCUUGACUGUGCGAAGGUAGCAUAAUUAAUUGCCUUAUAAUUGAAGGCUUGUUUGAAUGGUUUGACGUGGUAAACGCAAAUGUUUAUUUUUUUUUUGAAAUUUAUUUAGAGGGCACAGAAUCCUCUACUUUUAAUUAGACGGAAAGACCCCAGGAUCUUUGUUUUUUGUCUGGGGCAGAUUCUUAUAUUUCAUAAGUAUUUUGAUCCUUUUAAGUAUAAUGAUUUAAGUUACCCUGGGGAUAACAGUGUAAUAGUUUGAAAGAGUUCAUAUCGAAUAAACUGUUUGCUACCUCGAUGUUGACUUAGGUAAAUAGGGUAGGCGCAGCAGUCUAUUCUUUUGGUCUGUUCGACCAGUUCUACCUCC